GCUCGAUUAGCUCAAUUGGCAGAGCGUGAGGCUUUUAGUAACCUUCUAGAAAAGUUUUAACUUGAAACUUCCUUGGAAUGACCCUGCUUUAUACCUCAAGGCUCUGGGUUCGACCCCCAGAUCGAGCG